GUAGACCAUAUGGUGGCAGCAGCCCAUACGGACAGGGAAGACCGAGAGGACCGUAUGGUGGCAGUAGCCAAUAUGGACAGGGUGGAUCAUAUGGUGGUGGCAGCCAGUAUGGACAGGU